UGUACUCUGCCCCUCACGACUAGUCCAGAUGUAAGCGCUGAGGUAGCUCUCCUUCCAGGUACAACCCUUGGUCUAACCCAGGUCUCACCCCGCCCCUCCCCUCCCCUCCCUGGGGCUACCUCUGCUUGCGGGCGGCAGCAGAAAGCCCGUCAUCUCGGCGCUUUCCCUUAACCGAGUCGCUCUGCUUUUUCAUAUUCUUCUGGCGGGCGAGCUCGCGCUGGUUACCGCCUACAGAAAGAAGGUAAAAGAUGCUGCCUACUUCACUGAGAAAUUUGAAGCAAUCAGAAGAGAACUUCCACAGACUCUCACCACGUCUGCCUACCUCCUGCACCUGCACCCACCUUCGUUGCCUGUGUGGCCUGUUCGCAUAGAUGAACUGUCCAUACUCCUGUGGAAAGCAAAUCUUGAACAGAUCUCAUCCCCUCUAACUUAAUCAAGGACAGCACUCCAGCAAUCCUCUCCUCUCUCCUACAUCAUCAAUGUUUUGGACCUACUCCCCAAAUAAUUCCCAUCAGCAUACAAACAUGCUAUUUCUCCCACUGUAAAAAUCUUCUCUUGAUCCUAUUUCCCCCCGACAGUUAACUCCCUAUUUCUUUGCCCCCAUAUUUGGCAAAACUCAAAUUUCUUAUAUUUUCUGUAUAUUCCUUUUCUACCAUUUUCUCCAAGCCAACUCACGUCAGGCUUUCAUCCCAUUUCACCAGAACUGCUCCUGUUAAUGUUACCAAUGAACCCACAUUGCUAAA